GCAAAAAACGUAAACAAAGAGAAAACAAACAAUAACAAACUAAUUGAUUUAUUUCUAAAAUAUUGAAUUAUUGAUAUAAAAUGAAAUAUAUUGACUGUGCACCAAAAUAAACUAGGCCGAUCGAUAGGGAACCGGAAAAUGAAUGGAUUCUAGUAUUUUUUUCAUUUCUGGGUACUUGCUAUUAUAUAUUAUGAAGCAGCAAACUCUGAGAUAUUUAACAAAAAGUUUUUUGUUAAUAAAAAUUUAAAUAUACUUUGUGCAAUAAAACAGAAAUAUGUAAUCGAUAGAAAAUCGGAAAUGAAUCGACCUCCUUAUUGAUUUUUGUUCUUCGUACUUGAUAUCGGCUGUUGGGAUGCAACAAACUUUGAGUAACAUAUUAAAAACGUCCAAUAGAAAGUACUCCGGAAAAAAAUGAGUAUAGGGAUCGAUUCGUUAAUCGAUUCUCUAUUGAUCACUAUUAGCUGUUUUGGUGCACAAGGAAUAUUUAAAAAAUUUUUUGUAUAAAAACUUUUUUCUCUUUUUUGUCAGAUUUUGUGAAGUUACCGAAGUUUGUUGCGUCACAACGUCCAAUAGAAAGUACUCCGGAAAAAAAUGAGUAUAGGGAUCGAUUCGUUAACCGAUUCUCUAUCGAUCACUAUUAGCUGUUUUGGUGCACAAGGAAUAUUUAAAAAAUUUUUUUGUAUAAAAACUUUUUUCUCUUCUUUUGUCAGAUUUUGUGAAGUUACCGAAGUUUGUUGCGUCACAGCGUCCAAUAGAAAGUACUCCGGAAAAAAAUGAGUAUAGGGAUCGAUUCGUUAAUCGAUUCUCUAUUGAUCACUAUUAGCUGUUUUGGUGCACAAGGAAUAUUUAAAAAAUUUUUUGUAUAAAAACUUUUUUCUCUUUUUUGUCAGAUUUUGUGAAGUUACCGAAGUUUGUUGCAUCACAGCAUCCAAUAGAAAGUACUCCGG